rnacentral:lncRNA from 1 species
AGCUGGUACAAUGUGACGUCAAUCGAAAAGCAUCACGAGGGCAUAGCUGCGGUAUAUGAUGUCCAGCUCGGUCUGUCGUGGCUUGCAUCAUCUCCUAAUGGGCCUGGUGUAGUCGGAUGGUAUCCCAAUACAGAGACGCUGUCCUGGGUGCUCGCAUCUGCAAUGCUCUAGGACAAGGUUCAUCAAUGGAUCUUGCCCUCACCUCACCACUGGUAGAGAC